rnacentral:rRNA from 1 species
AUACGGAGGGUGCGAGCGUUAUCCGGAUUUAUUAGGUUUAAAGGGUGUGUAGGCGGGAGCCUAAGUCAGUGGUGAAAUCUCACAGCUUAACUGUGAAACUGCCAUUGAAACUGGGUUUCUUGAGUAUAGUUGAGGUAGGCGGAAUGUGUAAUGUAGCGGUGAAAUGCAUAGAUAUUACACAGAACACCGAUUGCGAAGGCAGCUUACUAAGCUAUUACUGACGCUGUUGCACGAAAGCGUGGGUAGCGAACAGGAUUAGAAACCCUAGUAGUCC